rnacentral:rRNA from 1 species
GACGUAGGGCGCGAGCGUUGUCCGGAUUUAUUGGGCGUAAAGAGCUCGUAGGCGGCUUGUCGCGUCGACUGUGAAAACCCGCGGCUCAACCGCGGGCCUGCAGUCGAUACGGGCAGGCUAGAGUUCGGUAGGGGAGACUGGAAUUCCCAGUGUAGAGGUGAAAUUCGUAGAUAUUGGGAAGAACACCGGUGGCGAAGGCGGCUCACUGGCUCGUACUCGACGCUCAGCUGCG